AGAAUUUACUCAGUAGGCUUGAUAACAGUGACAGUUUUCGGUCAUGCUCUCAUGUAAAAAAAUUAUUCAAGCACAUAUUAUUAAUACGCGAACGUGAUUAAUAAAUAUACAUGUUUUAUUAGUAUAAGAGUUUUUCAACUUGAUUAAUUUAUGUUUGAUUAGCAGACAACAAUUUGAGUCGUCGAACACUCAAAUCUAGAGACAUGCAAGAUAGAAGAGCACAAAGAUCAGAUGAAGAAAGGGAACAAAUCAAUGCAGAUGUCCGUUUGAGCAUGGAGCAGUUACGUGCAUCACAAUUGCAAGAGACACGAGAUGACUGGAACCAGCAAAGACAAUUAGAAAGAAGGGAAGCGCACAGAUUCGUAGUCAACAGCCGUAGAGGAAUUGACCGACAACGUCAACAAGUAAAUCGAGCAUUUACAGCACAUUCAUUUCUUCACCUAGCAUUUCACUAUGAGCCUGAUGUUGAAUAUGACGCUCAUUCCAAAGUGGUCAUUGGACGAGGAAUGCCCGCACUGCCAUGCCUUUACAUUAAAAAAUGAGCUGAUUGGGAUAUAUUGCUCAUCAGGAAAGAUUCUUCGCUAUUCUUGCAGUCAAUUCGAAAAUUAAUUUCAUGCUUUCAAAUGACAUCGUUUGGAUCAACGGAAAUAGUUAAUAAUACUGCUGCAAAUGGUCAACAAUUUAAUUCCACAUUCAAAAUCAAAGGCCAAGUUUACCACAAUGGGCGAUUUUCCGUGAUAGGCGGCAUAAAGUCCAAAAAUUUAUGGUGAAUAAUAUUUAUAUUAAGAAAAAUUUGUUAUUCCUAAGUUGUUAACACUCCAAUUAGAUGAAAACAUUUGUUGUGAA